rnacentral:tRNA from 2 species
GGUGACGUGUCCGAGCGGCCGAAGGUGCAACACUCGAAAUGUUGUGUACGUGAAAGCGUACCGUGGGUUCAAAUCCCACCGUCACCGCCA